rnacentral:rRNA from 1 species
UACGAAGGGGCCUAGCGUUGCUCGGAAUCACUGGGCGUAAAGCGCACGUAGGCGGAUUCCUAAGUCGGGGGUGAAAUCCUGGAGCUCAACUCCAGAACUGCCUUCGAUACUGGGAAUCUUGAGUCCGGAAGAGGUGAGUGGAACUGCGAGUGUAGAGGUGAAAUUCGUAGAUAUUCGCAAGAACACCAGUGGCGAAGGCGGCUCACUGGUCCGGUACUGACGCUGAGGUGCGAAAGCGUGGGGAGCAAACAGG